rnacentral:tRNA from 1 species
CGCAGAGUGGAGAAACGGUUAUCUCGCAUGGCUCAUAACCAUGAUGUAGCGCGUUCGACUCGCGCCUCUGCAACCA